rnacentral:rRNA from 1 species
AUGAACGCUGGCGGCGUGCCUCAUCCAUGCAAGUCGCGCGAACAGACGAGGAGCUUGCUUCUCUGACGUUAGCGGCGGACGGGUGAGUAACACGUGGAUAACCUACCUAUAAGACUGGGAUAACUUCGGGAAACCGGAGCUAAUACCGGAUAAUAUAUUGAACCGCCUGGUUCAAUAGUGAAAGACGGUUUUGCUGUCACUUAUAGAUGGAUCCGCGCCGCAUUAGCUAGUUGGUAAGGUAACGGCUUACCAAGGCAACCAUGCGUAGCCGACCUGAGAGGGUGAUCGGCCACACUGGAACUGAGACACGGUCCAGACUCCUACGGGAGGCAGCAGUAGGGAAUCUUCCGCAAUGGGCGAAAGCCUGACGGAGCACCGCCGCGUGAGUGAUGAAGGUCUUCGGAUCGUAAAACUCUGUUAUUAGGGAAGAAAAAAUGUGUAAGUAACUAUGCACGUCUUGACGGUACCUAAUCAGAAAGCCACGGCUAACUACGUG